AGAGUUUGAUCCUGGCUCAGGAUGAACGCUGGCGGUGUGCCUUAGGCAUGCAAGUCGAACGAGAAGCCCUGCUUGCAGGGUGGACAGUGGCGAACGGGUGAGUAACACGUAGGAACCUACCCAGUAGUGGGGAAUAGCCCUGCGAAAGUGGGAGUAAUACCGCAUACGCUCUUCGGAGGAAAGCCUUCGGGCGCUAUUGGAGGGGCCUGCGUCCUAUCAGGUAGUUGGUGGAGUAAUAGCCCACCAAGCCGACGACGGGUAGCCGAUGUGAGAGCAUGAUCGGCCACAAGGUUACUGAGAUACGGAGCCUACACCUACGGGUGGCAGCAACUGGGAAUAUUGCGCAAUGGACGAAAGUCUGACGCAGCGACACCGCGUGUGGGAUGACACUCUUCGGAGCGUAAACCACUGUGGCGAGGGAUGAAAUUUUGACAGUACCUCGCUAGAAAGCACCUGCUAACCACGUGCCAGAAGCCUCGGUAAUACGUGGGGUGCAAGCGUUAUCCGGAUUUACUGGGCGUAAAGGGUCCGUCGGCGGCACGGUAAGUCGUUCGUUUAAGCCUGGGGCUCAACUCCAGACCAGCGAGCGAAACUGCCAUGCUUGAGUCUGUUCGGGGAAGCUGGAAUUCUCGGUGGAGGGGUGAAAUCCGUAGAUAUCGAGAGGAACGCCGCUCGCGAAAGCAAGCUUCUAGGACAGUACUGACGCUCAGGGACGAAAGCUAGGGUAGCAAAGUGGAUUAGAGACCCAUGUAGUCCUAGCUGUAAACGCUGUCUGCUAGAUUUUCUCGUUUACGGGAGAGUCGUAAGGUAACCCGUUAAGCAGACCGCCUGGGGAGUACGACCGCAAGGUUAAAACUCAAAGGAAUUGACGGGGAAACGCACAACCGGUGGAGCAUGUGGUUUAAUUCGAUACAAAGCGAAAAACCUUACCUGGGUUUGACAUGUACCUGCUCGCUCUGUGAAAGCAGAGUUUCUUUCGAAGGUGGUACACAGGUGAUGCAUGGCUGUCGUCAGCUCGUGUCGUGAGACGUCCUCUUAAGUGAGGUAACGAGCGCAACCCUUAUUCUGUGUUAUACGUGUCACAGAAGACUGCCUUGCCUAUUGCAGGGAGGAAGGAGAGGACGACGUCAAGUCAGCAUGUCCCUUACAUCCAGGGCUACACACAUCCUACAAUGGGACCGACAAUGGGUAGCGACAGGGCAACCUCGAGCUAAUCUUCCAAACGGUCUCUCAGUUCGGAUUGAGGGCUGAAAUUCGCCCUCAUGAAGUCGGAAUCGGUAGUAAUCGCAAAUCAGCAGGUUGCGGUGAAUACGUUCUCGUUUCUUGUACAGUUAACUAUGCGCCUUCCGCGCUAGUGUUCUAGCUGGUGAAAGUCCAGCCUGUCGAGACAAGUCGACAGAAGCAAAAUUACAGUCCUGUUCGGGUAACCGACAGGAUGAAGGGUAAAA
rnacentral:rRNA from 1 species